rnacentral:rRNA from 1 species
GACGACGCUGGCGGCGUGCCUAAUACAUGUAAGUCGAACGAGUGGCGAACGGGUGAGUAACACGUGGGAACCUGCCCAUCAGAAGGGGAUAACUACUGGAAACGGUAGCUAAUACCGCAUACCAUCGGAUGUGCCCAGAUGGGAUUAGCUAGUAGGGGGGGUAACGGCUCACCUAGGCGACGAUCCCUAGCUGGUCUGAGAGGAUGACCAGCCACACUGGAACUGAGACACGGUCCAGACUCCUACGGGAGGCAGCAGUGGGGAAUAUUGCACAAUGGGCGCAAGCCUGAUGCAGCCAUGCCGCGUGUAUGAAGAAGGCCUUCGGGUUGUAAAGUACUUUCAGCGGGGAGGCGUUACCAACAGAAUAAGCACCGGCUAACUUCGUGCCAGCGCCGCGGUAAUAC